rnacentral:rRNA from 1 species
AGGACCGCCGUAAUGAUUAAUAGGGACAGUCGGGGGCAUCAGUAUUCAAUUGUCAGAGGUGAAAUUCUUGGAUUUAUUGAAGACUAACUACUGCGAAAGCAUUUGCCAAGGAUGUUUUCAUUAAUCAGGAACGAAAGUUAGGGGAUCGAAGACGAUCAGAUACCGUCGUAGUCUUAACCAUAAACUAUGCCGACUAGGGAUCGGACGAUGUUAUUUUUUGACUCGUUCGGCACCUUACGAGAAAUCAAAGUGCUUGGGCUCCAGGGGGAGUAUGGUCGCAAGGCUGAAACUUAAAGAAAUUGACGGAAGGGCACCACCAGGGGUGGAGCCUGCGGCUUAAUUUGACUCAACACGGGGAAACUCACCAGGUCCAGACACAAUGAGGAUUGACAGAUUGAGAGCUCUUUCUUGAUUUUGUGGGUGGUGGUGCAUGGCCGUUCUUAGUUGGUGGAGUGAUUUGUCUGCUUAAUUGCGAUAACGAACGAGAUCUUAACCUGCUAAAUAGCCCGUAUUGCUUUGGCAGUACGCCGGCUUCUUAGAGGGACUAUCGGCUCAAGCCGAUGGAAGUUUGAGGCAAUAACAGGUCUGAGAUGCCCUUAGAUGUUCUGGGCCGCACGCGCGCUACACUGACGGAGCCAGCGAGUACUCCCUUGGCCGGAAGGCCCGGGUAAUCUUGUUAAACUCCGUCGUGCUGGGGAUAGGGCA